rnacentral:rRNA from 1 species
UCGCUGUAGGUGAACCGCAGCGGGAUCAUUA